rnacentral:rRNA from 1 species
UGGGGAAUAUUGCACAAUGGGCGGAAGCCUGAUGCAGCGACGCCGCGUGGGGGAUGAAGGCCUUCGGGUUGUAAACUCCUUUCGACAGGGACGAAGCGUAAGUGACGGUACCUGUAUAAGAAGCACCGGCUAACUACGUGCCAGCAGCCGCGGUAAUACGUAGGGUGCGAGCGUUGUCCGGAAUUACUGGGCGUAAAGAGCUCGUAGGUGGUUUGUCGCGUCGUCUGUGAAAUUCCGGGGCUUAACUCCGGGCGUGCAGGCGAUACGGGCUGACUUGAGUGCUGUAGGGGAGACUGGAAUUCCUGGUGUAGCGGUGAAAUGCGCAGAUAUCAGGAGGAACACCGAUGGCGAAGGCAGGUCUCUGGGCAGUAACUGACGCUGAGGAGCGAAAGCAUGGGUAGCGAACAGGAUUAGAUACCCUGGUAGUCCAUGCCGUAAACGGUGGGCACUAGGUGUAGGGGGCUUCCACGUCUUCUGUGCCGUAGCUAACGCAUUAAGCGCCCCGCCUGGGGAGUACGGCCGCAAGGCUA